UAUAGGAGAAGAUGUAAGAUUCGAGCUCCUUGCUGCAGUGAGAUCUUUGAUUGCCGUCAUUGUCACAACGAGGCUGCGCAUGCUGAAAAAUCCCUAUGAUCGACACGGAAUUGUUCAUCAGGAUGUUAAACAAGUUGGUUGUUCUGUCUGUGAUACAGAACAACCGGUACGUAUGUGUUCCUUGAUUUUGGACAUGAGGCUUUCAUUUUUGCUGGCAUAUCUGAAUUGCUUGGAAGCAUAUGGGGGGCUGUAAGGAGCAUAUUCCAGCUUGCUUCAACUUCGGAGGCUACGGUUAGCACAUAUGAAGUUUCCAUGUGGCUUUCACUUAGGAAUGAC